ensembl:lncRNA
GGGAGUGAUAACGUUGUGAAUGGACGGAGCCAUCGUUGGGUGAGUGCUGGCUCUAUUUGCACUAAGAGUGGGUGUGCCGUGUCUGAAGUGGUGUGUCUGCACAAUAAAUCGUUUGAAGUGAAGUUACAGAGUGUGGGGAAGAUAUGUAGAGUUAAUGCCGGACGCUCACCACCCCGAGAGCCCACCACCGUCACCGUAAUCCACACCCAGGCACUGACCGAAGCAUCUCCCAGCCGUAAGCCCCAUUACUUAUUCAAGAACACCUACUUACUGUUGAUUACUUACUCUGCUGUGCAGAUCGCAGGAUCCUCUGGGCUGAACGCCGCAUGUGAUGUCCCUAUGAAAGGAGGUGGACACACGAAUUAUUCCUUUCUCGGUCUUAACUGAAGCAUCUCCCAGCCGUAAGCCCAUCACCCAUUAAAGACUACAUACCUGCUGUCGAUUGCUUACUCUGCUGUGCAGAUCGUAGGAUCCCCUGGGACGAAUGCUGCAUGUGAUGUCCCUAUGAAAAGAGAUUGCAGGAUCCUCUGGGCUGGACGCUGCAUGUGAUGUCCCUGUAAAAGGAG